UCUGGAUUGAAUCGGUAAUCGA
rnacentral:miRNA from 1 species